CGAACGGGUGAGUAAUGCGUGACCAACCUGCCCCAUGCUCCAGAAUAGCUCUUGGAAACGGGUGGUAAUGCUGGAUGCUCCAACUUGACGCAUGUCUUGUUGGGAAAGUGUUUAGUGGCAUGGGAUGGGGUCGCGUCCUAUCAGCUUGUAGGCGGGGUAAUGGCCCACCUAGGCUUCGACGGGUAGCCGGCCUGAGAGGGCGGACGGCCACAUUGGGACUGAGAUACGGCCCAGACUCCUACGGGAGCAGCAGUU
rnacentral:rRNA from 1 species